CGCGUAGGUGGUUCGUUAAGUUGGAUGUGAAAUCCCCGGGCUCAACCUGGGAACUGCAUUCAAAACUGACGAGCUAGAGUAUGGUAGAGGGUGGUGGAAUUUCCUGUGUAGCGGUGAAAUGCGUAGAUAUAGGAAGGAACACCAGUGGCGAAGGCGACCACCUGGACUGAUACUGACACUGAGGUGCGAAAGCGUAGGUAGCGAAUGGGAUUAGAUACCCUCGUA
rnacentral:rRNA from 1 species